rnacentral:rRNA from 1 species
ACUCCUACGGGAGGCAGCAGUGGGGAAUAUUGCGCAAUGGGCGUAAGCCUGAUGCAGCGACGCCGCGUGAGGGAUGAAGGCCUUCGGGUCGUAAACCUCUUUCAGCAGGGAAGAAGCGAAAGUGACGGUACCUGCAGAAGAAGCACCGGCUAACUACGUGCCAGCAGCCGCGGUAAUACGUAGGGUGCAAGCGUUGUCCGGAAUUAUUGGGCGUAAAGAGCUCGUAGGCGGUCUGUCGCGUCUGCUGUGAAAACUCAGGGCUUAACCCUGAGCUUGCAGUGGGUACGGGCAGACUAGAGUGCGGUAGGGGAGACUGGAAUUCCUGGUGUAGCGGUGAAAUGCGCAGAUAUCAGGAGGAACACCGGUGGCGAAGGCGGGUCUCUGGGCCGUAACUGACGCUGAGGAGCGAAGGCAUGGGGAGCGAACAGGAUUAGAUACCCUGGUAGUCCAUGCCGUAAACGUUGGGCGCUAGGUGUGGGGCUCUUUCCACGAGUUCCGUGCCGCAGCUAACGCAUUAAGCGCCCCGCCUGGGGAGUACGGCCGCAAGGCUAAAACUCAAAGGAAUUGACGGGGGCCCGCACAAGCGGCGGAGCAUGCGGAUUAAUUCGAUGCAACGCGAAGAACCUUACCAAGGCUUGACAUGGGGUGAAAACCGGCAGAGAUGUCGGGUCCGCAAGGGCGCCUCACAGGUGGUGCAUGGUUGUCGUCAGCUCGUGUCGUGAGAUGUUGGGUUAAGUCCCGCAACGAGCGCAACCCUCGUUCUAUGUUGCCAGCACGUUAUGGUGGGGACUCAUAGGAGACUGCCGGGGUCAACUCGGA